CUAAGAAUAUUCCGCAAUGGACGAAAGUCUGACGGAGCGACGCCGCGUGGAUGAAGAAGGCCGAAAGGUUGUAAAAUCCUUUUGCUGAUGAAGAAUAAGUGUGGUAGGGAAUGACCGCAUGAUGACAUUAGUCGGUGAAUAAGCCCCGGCUAACUACGUGCCAGCAGCCGCGGUAACACGUAGGGGGCAAGCGUUGUUCGGAAUUAUUGGGCGUAAAGGGCAUGUAGGCGGUUUCGUAAGCCUGGUGUGAAAUCCUGCAGCUUAACUGUAGAAUUGCAUUGGGUACUGCGAGACUUGAAGCAUAGAGGGGAAACUAGAAUUCCAGGUGUAGGGGUGGAAUCUGUAGAUAUCUGGAAGAAUACCGGUGGCGAAGGCGGGUUUCUAGCUAAUGAUUGACGCUGAGGUGCGAAAGUGCGGGGAGCAAACA
rnacentral:rRNA from 1 species